ensembl:rRNA 5S_rRNA 5S ribosomal RNA
AGCCACAGCCAUAUCACCCUGCAGCCCAAGACCAGUUACUUACCGAAGCUAAGCAGGGCUGAGCCUGGUCAGUACCUGGAUGGGAGGCCAGAUGAGAAAAUUGAGCUGCUGUUGGAA